rnacentral:rRNA from 1 species
GACGAACGCUGGCGGCGUGCCUAAUACAUGCAAGUUGAGCGAUGAAGAUUGGUGCUUGCACCAAUUUGAAGAGCAGCGAACGGGUGAGUAACGCGUGGGGAAUCUGCCUUUGAGCGGGGGACAACAUUUGGAAACGAAUGCUAAUACCGCAUAACAACUUUAAACAUAAGUUUUAAGUUUGAAAGAUGCAAUUGCAUCACUCAAAGAUGAUCCCGCGUUGUAUUAGCUAGUUGGUGAGGUAAAGGCUCACCAAGGCGAUGAUACAUAGCCGACCUGAGAGGGUGAUCGGCCACAUUGGGACUGAGACACGGCCCAAACUCCUACGGGAGGCAGCAGUAGGGAAUCGUCGGCAAUGGACGAAAGUCUGACCGAGCAACGCCGCGUGAGUGAAGAAGGUUUUCGGAUCGUAAAACUCUGUUGGUAGAGAAGAACGUUGGUGAGAGUGGAAAGCUCAUCAAGUGACGGUAACUACCCAGAAAGGGACGGCUAACUAC